AUGGCCGGAAGCGCGAGCGCCACUCUGGUCCUCCUCGUCGUCGUGGUCGCGGCCCUCGCCGUGGGGGCCAGCGCGACAUCGACGCUGACGCCGCUCAGCAUCACCAACCGGUGCUCCUUCACGGUAUGGCCGGCGGUGGCCUCCGCAGGCCUCGGCACGGAGCUCCAUCCGGGAGCCAACUGGACCGUGGACGCGUCGGCGAUCCACUACACCGCGGACAUAUGGGGGCGCACGGGCUGCUCCUUCGACGCGGCAGGCAGGGGACGGUGCCAGACGGUGGACUGCGGCAGCGGGCUACGGUGCCGGAGCAACGACCCUGCGGCGCCGACGACCAAGGCCCAGGUCGCCAUCUCCGAGGGCUUCUACCACUACGGCAUCAUGUUGGACAAGGGGUUCAACCUGCCCAUGGAUCUCACGUGCAGCUCCGGCGACGCGCUCCGGUGCCGGGAGGACGGGUGCCACGACGCGUUCCCGUACGUGAAGUACAACGACCACUCAUGCACCGCCGCCGGCAGCCGGCUCCAAAUCAUCUUCUGCCCAUGA
rnacentral:rRNA from 1 species